rnacentral:rRNA from 1 species
UACGUAGGGUGCAAGCGUUAAUCGGAAUUACUGGGCGUAAAGAGUGCGCAGGCGGUUAUGUAAGACAGGUGUGAAAUCCCAGGGCUUAACCUUGGAACUGCAUUUGUGACUGCAUAGCUAGAGUACGGUAGAGGGGGAUGGAAUUCCGCGUGUAGCAGUGAAAUGCGUAGAUAUGCGGAGGAACACCGAUGGCGAAGGCAAUCCCCUGGACCUGUACUGACGCUCAUGCACGAAAGCGUGGGGAGCAAACAGG